rnacentral:rRNA from 1 species
ACGAACGCUGGCGGCGUGCUUAACACAUGCACGUCGAACGGAAAGGCCCUGCUUUUGUGGGGUGCUCGAGUGGCGAACGGGUGAGUAACACGUGAGUAACCUGCCCUUGACUUUGGGAUAACUUCAGGAAACUGGGGCUAAUACCGGAUAGGAGCUCCUGCUGCAUGGUGGGGGUUGGAAAGUUUCGGCGGUUGGGGAUGGACUCGCGGCUUAUCAGCUUGUUGGUGGGGUAGUGGCUUACCAAGGCUUUGACGGGUAGCCGGCCUGAGAGGGUGACCGGCCCCAUUGGGACUGAGAUACGGCCCAGACUCCUACGGGAGGCAGCAGUGGGGAAUAUUGCACAAUGGGCGGAAGCCUGAUGCAGCAACGCCGCGUGCGGGAUGACGGCCUUCGGGUUGUAAACCGCUUUCGCCUGUGACGAAGCGUGAGUGACGGUAAUGGGUAAAGAAGCACCGGCUAACUACGUG